rnacentral:rRNA from 1 species
UCUGUAGGUGGCCCGCUAAGUCACACGUGAAAUCCCUCAGCUUAACUGGGGAACUGCGUGUGAGACUGGCAGGCUUGAGUGCAGGAGAGGAACGCGGAAUUCCAGGUGUAGCGGUGAAAUGCGUAGAUAUCUGGAGGAACACCGGUGGCGAAGGCGGCGUUCUGGACUGUAUCUGACACUGAUAGACGAAAGCCAGGGGAGCAAACG